AGUGAACGCUGGCGGUAGGCCUAACACAUGCAAGUCGAACGGCAGCACAGUAAGAGCUUGCUCUUACGGGUGGCGAGUGGCGGACGGGUGAGGAAUACAUCGGAAUCUACUUUUUCGUGGGGGAUAACGUAGGGAAACUUACGCUAAUACCGCAUACGACCUACGGGUGAAAGCAGGGGCUCUUCGGACCUUGCGCGAUUGAAUGAGCCGAUGUCGGAUUAGCUAGUUGGCGGGGUAAAGGCCCACCAAGGCGACGAUCCGUAGCUGGUCUGAGAGGAUGAUCAGCCACACUGGAACUGAGACACGGUCCAGACUCCGACGGGAGGCAGCAGUGGGGAAUAUUGGACAAUGGGCGCAAGCCUGAUCCAGCCAUACCGCGUGGGUGAAGAAGGCCUUCGGGUUGUAAAGCCCUUUUGUUGGGAAAGAAAAGCAGCAGGUUAAUACCCCGCUGUUCUGACGGUACCCAAAGAAUAAGCACCGGCUAACUUCGUG
rnacentral:rRNA from 1 species